GACGGAGGAUGCAAGCGUUAUCCGGAAUGAUUGGGCGUAAAGCGUCCGCAGGUGGCAGUUCAAGUCUGCUGUCAAAGACCGGGGCUUAACUUCGGAAAGGCAGUGGAAACUGAACAGCUAGAGUAUGGUAGGGGCAGAGGGAAUUCCUGGUGUAGCGGUGAAAUGCGUAGAGAUCAGGAAGAACAUCGGUGGCGAAGGCGGGUUGCUGGGCCGACACUGACGCUGAUGCGCGAAAGCCAGGGGAGCGAACGGG
rnacentral:rRNA from 1 species